UUUCUGAAGAAAACAGAGAACAAGUUAAAGGGGAUUCAAAGCUACAUAGUAAUUAGACCCUCCUUAGAGCUGGAAGAAGUCAGGUGGCCUUUAUAAACAUUCUCUAAAUAUUUAAACCAUUGUGGAUAGAUGGACUCUUUAAAAUUAUAACAAUAAUACCUUCAAUUUAUAUAAUUUUGUCCUAGAAGAACUUGUGUAAAAAAGGAAUAAUUUAUUCUAAAAUAAUUUAAAGGACUAGAAUAAAUGACACCUAUUAAUAUCUGCCAGUGUUUUGUCAUAAUGUUAUGAUGAUAAGCAUUCUAAGAACUGAAUAUAAGCCAUGAACUGAUGAGAUCAUAGGUUCUCAUAGGGACAAAUCCACAUCUAAUUUGGAUCCCAUCCAGAACUGAUGAGCCUUCUUGCCCAGCCUUAACUUGGAGACAGAGAAAAGAAUGUGAUGGGCUUGGGAGGAAAAAGCAUUCAAAAGCCACCUUGAGAUGUUUUGCAUUCCAGGUGUGGUUUUGUGUGUAGCUUUUUCCUGGAGUCUCCCCCGCACCCCAGGCAAGACCUUCUAUCCAUCUUUCCCAGUUUGAACUGCCUCAAGGCCAGAUGCACAGCUGUCAUCCUGGGACUUCUUUUCACCUUCUUGGUUCAUUCCCAUGUUUCACUGGAAUACAUCCCCAAGAAAUUUUUAAAGAAACGGUGUAUGGGAGCAUCUCAAGAGGAAGAAGAGAUAAAUAUAUGAUUGUUUCACCAAACUGACCUCUAAUAAAUCAAGCUCUUCAUCAGAACCUGUCUUUGCUCUGCCCAGAUCCUUGUUACUCAUUAUCAUUAACUCAGCUUUCUUUGGAUUGCCUGAUUUUGCUCUAUAUGAUCCAGUAUCUUCACUCAAUUGCUCAGGUUUGCCAUUAUUCUUCUCGGUACGGAGAAAUUCCUUCUUGUACUAUAAAACAGGUCUGAAAAUUACUGUUUGGUGUUUAGGAUUAGUGAUUAUUAUGCUGACAACUAUAACUCAACUGUAGUAAAAUUAUUAUUUCCUUUAUAUCCUCUCAUAGAAAUGAAAGUGGUGAGUAAUUAGCUGUGUGUUUGGUGUGGGGUCUAGGGGAGUGAGAAAGGAAGGAGAGGACCAAGUCAUAAUUUUCAUUAAAUAGAGCAUCUAGAAGGUUAUUAAGAAUGAUGAAGUUUUAUUUUUUUAAAAAAGACUUAUUUAUUUAUUUGACAGAGAGAGCAUGAGAGGAAGGAAUAGAGGGAGAGAGAAUCUCAAGCAGGCUCCACACUGAGUGCAGAGCCCUACCUGGGGCUCAGUCUCAUGAUGCUGAGAUCACGACCUGAGCCAAAACCAAGAGUCAGACACUUAACAGACUGUGCCGCCCAGGUGCCCUGAUAAACCUUUCUCCAUCAUCAGUAAAGAUAGCCAAGAAGAAAUAGGUUUCAGUUGCAAUAUGAUCAGUUUUUUAGAAAAAACUAGAAAAUAUUUCUGAAUGAGAAAGAAUUUCUGUAGAAAAUCAUGUAAUUUCAUUUCUUUAAAAAUAAUAUCGGGACUCAUUUUGUUUUCAGUAAGUAUUUAAAUGUGAUCCAAAUUAGAAGCAGAAGUAUGGACUAGAAGUCCUAUCUAGCUUCUUCUCCUAGGAUGACGAUGAAAAAUAACAACAGUAAUGGUAAUCAGUAUGUUUUAUUGAGUAUUUGCAGUGUGCCAGCUUCUGGGCUAAGUACUUUACAUGCCAAUCUCAUUUAAUUCCUACAACAGGCCUAUGAGGUAAGAAAUAUUAGUAUUUCUACUUGACAGAGAAACCCAUUAUCCCAGAUCCCUAAAGUAAUAGAUUCAGAUCUGGGUCUGUUUGACCACAAGAUGCUUGCUUUCAAGAUGCCACAUGAAUUUGUCUCUUCUAGGAUGCUGUGAUUUUCAUUUUCAAAAUCAAUGCCUUUAUCUAGGACCACUAUGCCCUUAUUGUUCUAAGUAAUACUUGUAAUUGUUGUUUUUAGUGAUUUGUUCUUUACCCUGCAUUAUUAUAUCAUCGAAUCAGAUUGAGGUGAUGAUGCCUCUACUUCUAAAAUUUGAACUAGUUUUCUAUUGUCAUAAAAAUGUGCCGUCUUCCAACUGUUUUUCAAAGUCAGAUGACUUGUCAGUACUUAUACAGAAUACCCUUAAGACUCUGUAUCCACUGUGAAGCUUAGCUACUGUCCUGAAUGGACAGUUUCAGAAAAUGACUUUCUGGCCCAACCCCAUGACAGUCUGUCAACUCUUAACAGCCUUGUGGGAGUGCUGGCAGAUGGCAAUCAGAGCAGGUGAGCACUUCCUCAUAAGGACACUCUUCACAGUAGUCUUUAAAAAUUGUGGCUGCUUCAUGUAGGGUAAAAAAAUCGGGUAAAAGAAAAACCUUUAUCCCACGGAGUCUUUAGAUAGAUUCAAUCUUAUUUUACAAUACUCAGCUAUAUGUUUAU